UUUCUCUAUUUGUGCUCUGUUUUUUCUUUUGAGCAUGGCCAUGCGACCUGUUUGUUCUGUUCAUCAUUUUUUUUUUUAGUUUUUUCUGCAUUGUUAUGUGAUCUUUUUUCUUUUAAAUUGUUUUGGGCGAGGAUAGAGAUUGUGUUUAUGAGGAACUGCAUAACUGGGAAUUCCAAGCGUUGAUGAGACUCCUGUUACAACAUUCAAAGCCCUGAUGUCUCCUACAAAAGAUUCUUCAUAGGACGCUCCUUUCAACGAAAAAGUGACUGCAGAAAACAGCAUAAAUUGUCCAUAUCCAGCUAAACGGCUACUUUGGAUCCCUAGCAUAUGUCGUGAUGCUUCCAUGGAAGUUCCCUGAAUUCUUGAGCGAGGUCCUCGUGUUCCUCUGUAUUUCUUUAUCCUUCUUCGUCUGAUUUUCUUUCCCAUUCUUCCUCCUAUUUUCUAGGUUUCUCAGCAUCAAUGUCUCUCUCCAUCUCCGUGUCUGUUGAAUUAUUCGGGGUUUGUGUUGCCCUUUUAUCCGUCCGUGAAGAACUUUGGAAGGUAUUUUCUUUUGUGCUUUCUGAUUUUUUCUCUAAUGCUGCCUCGCCAAUUUUUACUUUCUCUAGAGUUUGUAGCGGAUUCUUAGAUUGCAUGUGCUAUUUGUUUCAUUGUCCAUGUAAUUCAGGGGUUUAGCUUGCCCUUGUAAUUUGAUAUUUAUGGGAUUCUGUGCUUUGGUGCCUUUGGAAUCUGUCAGGGUUUCAGAUUGGUUUCCAGAUUCCUUCAAUCCAGUGUCUGUUGAAUUCGUACCAUGUUCUGUUGAUA